rnacentral:sRNA from 1 species
AAGCUCUUACUGCAGGCAGAUUGAAGCGUCUUACUUUCUGAAAAUUGGAGUGUGACAAUAUGAACCGCUUUGACCGACCAGACAGAAAUGUUCGGCAGCCUCAGGAAGGUUUUUGGAAAAGGCCACCCCAGAGGUGGAGUGGACAGGAGCAUUACCACCUCAGCCACCCUGAUCACUAUCAUCACCAUGGAAAAAGUGACUUGAGCAGAGGCUCUCCCUAUAGAGAAUCUCCUUUGGGUCAUUUUGAAAGCUAUGGAGGGAUGCCCUUUUUCCAGGCUCAGAAGAUGUUUGUUGAUGUACCAGAAAAUACAGUGAUACUGGAUGAGAUGACCCUUCGGCACAUGGUUCAGGAUUGCACUGCUGUAAAAACUCAGUUACUCAAACUGAAACGUCUCCUGCAUCAGCAUGAUGGAAGUGGUUCAUUGCAUGAUAUUCAACUGUCGUUGCCAUCCAGUCCGGAACCAGAAGAUGGUGAUAAAGUAUAUAAGAAUGAAGAUUUAUUAAAUGAAAUAAAACAACUUAAAGAGGAAAUAAAGAAAAAAGAUGAAAAGAUCCAACUAUUAGAACUUCAGCUUGCAACUCAGCAUAUCUGCCACCAAAAAUGUAAAGAGGAAAAAUGCACUUAUGCUGAUAAAUAUACCCAAACACCCUGGAGACGAAUUCCUCCUCAAGUACUACAGCCUUCCAGCAGCCUUCCCAGACCCACAGACCACACCCAGGGAAAACUAAUAAAGCCACAACGUAUCGAGGCCCGCAGUGAAUGCGCAAUCCAAGACAUGCAUCAGGGCAUUGCACAUCCAGAAGAAAGCUUUACACACGUCUUGCAACAAGAAAGCAACUAUGGUUUGGAAGAGCAGCCUUUUUCAUCAGGCCCACAA